rnacentral:rRNA from 1 species
AACGAACGCUGGCGGCAGGCUUAACACAUGCAAGUCGAGCGGGGGAAGGUAGCUUGCUACCUAACCUAGCGGCGGACGGGUGAGUAAUGCUUAGGAAUCUGCCUAUUAGUGGGGGACAACAUUUCGAAAGGGAUGCUAAUACCGCAUACGCCCUAAGGGGGAAAGCAGGGGAUCUUCGGACCUUGCGCUAAUAGAUGAGCCUAAGUCGGAUUAGCUAGUUGGUGGGGUAAAGGCCUACCAAGGCGACGAUCUGUAGCGGGUCUGAGAGGAUGAUCCGCCACACUGGGACUGAGACACGGCCCAGACUCCUACGGGAGGCAGCAGUGGGGAAUAUUGGACAAUGGGGGGAACCCUGAUCCAGCCAUGCCGCGUGUGUGAAGAAGGCCUUUUGGUUGUAAAGCACUUUAAGCGAGGAGGAGGCUACCGAGAUUAAUACUCUUGGAUAGUGGACGUUACUCGCAGAAUAAGCACCGGCUAACUCUGUGCCAGCCGCCGCCGUAAUAC